ACCUUAUAACAAAAACGUCAAAGUUUAACUUAUCUUGCCAUUAAUCCCCAAAUUUAUAUUUAACCCUUCACUACUACCGAAUAAUUCUAUAUGUAUAUAGAACUUUUUAUGUUAAGACUAGUAGCAAGAAUCUAACUUUCUCUUACAAUUUAAAUAUAAGCUAGACUGGAUUUACCACUGCCAUUUAAUAGUUAUACACUAUGUAGUAACACUACUAGAAAACUCUACACCCCCCCCCACCCUAUUAACCUCACACAAGCUAAACUCAAGAAAGAUUAAAAAAGAAAGAAGGAACUCGGCAAACUUCGAUUCCGCCUGUUUACCAAAAACAUCGCCUCCUGCCCUGUAUAGGAGGUCCUGUCUGCCCAGUGACUCUGUUCAACGGCCGCGGUAUCCUAACCGUGCAAAGGUAGCGUAAUCACCUGUUUUUUAAAUAAAGACCUGUAUGAAAGACCCCACGAGAAUCGUACUGUCUCCUUUCCCCAAUCAGCGAAACUAAUCUCCUCGUGAAAAAGCGAGGAUUCCAAUACAAGACGAGAAGACCCUGUGGAGCUUUAAAUGAACACAUCAACUAUACCACUCACCUUAUCCUCAUGAUGUUAAUUUUUGGCUGGGGCGACCUUAGAGCAUAAAAAAACCUCCU
rnacentral:rRNA from 1 species